CAUUCUGCUUCUUGUUAUUUUCUCUCAUUUGCAGGUAUUUGCUCUUGUGUUGUCUGUAUUGACUGUGUCUAUAAAUUACUGCUAAAUAAACCUGUAAACAUGAAGGGAAGAGCAGAUAAACAAUUCAUGAAGCAGGAAGCAGCAUCAGCAACCCAUGAAUGUAUGUGAAAUCACCUUUUAACUGCAUCACAAUUACUUAUUUCAUGCCUAUAUGUGUGUUCUUUAAUAAUACAGUUGCUUGUGCUUGUGUUUCUUGUUUUUUUUUUCAUGAAGUGUCUCAUAAAAAAAUUCACUGCACUCAUGAUUUUCCCCUCCCUCCUCUUUCCUGGGGUUGAACCUUUCUCACAUGCAUCUGUGCUGUAGAUGAAAUUAAAUGGCACGGCAUUAGGAUGCAAAUGAAAUACCUUUAAAAAGCCUUCACACAACGACAGGAAGAGGAAAACCAAAAAGCAUUUACAGUACACAUUUGAGGACAGCACAAAAUCUCUCUGUGUCACGAUGAGGAGCAGGAGGUUUGGACCCAAGAUGCAGAACCACCGAAUGACUCGAAGCAGGAGAGGAGAGUCUGGCGCGGCAACGCUGGCAGAGGCAGCAGCAGCAGACGGAGGUGGAUGGACUCUCAAGUGCUCACACGCCUUUACCCUUUCCAGGUGUGCAGCUUGUUUUACCCCUCACAGAAACACUAUAAAAAUAAAACCAUGUUCACUUAUUUUAAAAUUGUCUUUUAAAUUCAAGAUUUAAAAAAGAUUUGAACACUGGUGUAUUUUUAUUGCACGCUGGAGGAGAGAUGCAGGCGCUGACAUAGAUGUUCCUGUUUCCGUGUGUGUUUCUGCAAAAUACCUCAUCAAACACCAGAAGGAUCUCAGUGAAUCUCUUUGGAAAUGAUCAUUAGACAUACUUCUGUGACUCAUUAACUUGUGGAAUAAAUCCCAGCUAAUCAAUAAUCAAUCACUUCAGCGUGAAAGGUGGUCAGCGGGAGGCUUUUCUUAAAAAGAUGCAAGGCCUUUCACUUUUGAACUAAUUAUUCUAGAAGAUCUUCAGAGGCCACAAAAUAAGCUUGCAUGAGUAUAAUAUGUUGCAACACUUCUUUUUCAGGAGGACGGUGUGGACUUUGGCUUGUCCUUGGCCUCCCUGUGAACCAAAUUCAUCAUGAGUCUGUAGCUGAGGAGAUUAAAAUCAUGCAACAACGAGGCGCUGCAGGAUCACACACAUGAAAAAAAAAAUGCCGGAGCUCCCUCAUGUGCAACACUUAUCUGAAGCUGUCCGACAGUUUUGCCAGCAGUCACUGUUGGUUAGAUCUCACCAUGCAUUUCUGUCCAGCUUCACGUCGGGGCAACAAAAAUAGUCCGUGUUGAGUCAGGCCUUUUUUUCUCCUCUCCUCCAUGCCAGAUUCAAAAGAUACAUUUGUUCCGUGUAUCCCUGAGGCAUUAUCACACACAGUACAUACAGGGAGUGCUGAGAGUGCUGCACUCUUGUCUUAUUACAGACAGCAGGUGCAGAUGGUUAUAGGCAGGUGCUCUGUUGAAAAAAAAAAUGGAGAAGGGGGGAAAACAAACAUGCACCUGGUCCCUCUGUCGUAGCAGUCUGGGGUUGCUUUUGGUUUGAUUCACUUUGUUUCUUUACCGGAGAGCAUCAAGGAUCAAGAACUUCUCAUAAAGAUUAAUGCAGAAGAUGGAGCUAACCUGACUAGCAAAGAUAAGCUCACUUCUUCUGGAUUCUGACCCGCCCCCUUCUAAAUCUUUUUGGUUUCAGCCUGAAUGGACAGGUAGUUCUUGCGGAAACCUCUAUUAUCACCGGCCACCCCUCACUUACAGCUCGUUUUAUGGGAUCUUCAAGGACCUAGCUGAGGAAAUGAGUGUUAACUGUGUGUUUGUAUUGUCACAGCUCACACAGAUUUGCUUUAUUCAUGGACUCACUUCAUCUGCCAGCCAAGCAUUUAAUAAUUGAAGGAAUUAUCAGGCCAGUGGAUCCAAAGCCCCUCAGAAAUGUGUCAUGCCCCUGAGCAAAGCCCGCAGAAAAGAGAGAGAGAAAGAGGGGCUUUGCUAAUUUGUACAACUCCUUGCAAAACCCCUCAGUAAAGUUCCACCUACAUGCAAAGUUGCAACACAGAAGCUGAUGAUGCCACAAAUGGCAAGCUCUGACUGGCAGAAUAUCAAUACCUCAUAACAGCGGGAGCCCGUGCAUGUCAGAUAAAUUUAUGAUUCCCUCCAAAUACCGCUUUCCCAUUUUUCCUCCACAUCAGAAUGGGUGUUUUUGAUGUAGCUAGAUUUCACCAUGCAGUUUGGCUGGUGUCCCUUUUCACAAAGAAUGUGACUGACGCAACAUUAAUCUCCAAACAAAGAGACUGGCACAACUACUCCACGCAAUUUCAGGGCGAUGAGGUGGCAACGUCAGUCUCAAUUUCUCACUGCUCCUUCACAAGCUGCUCCACUUUCUUCAAAUUCUCAUUUAGACCAAACAAAACACUCCAGAAAGGAGGCGAAAAAGCGUCGUUUAAAUCCGAAGCACACACUGGAGACCUCUUUUUUUUAUCCCCCUUUUCUAAACAUGGAGUCGUUGCAAAAAAAAAAAAAAAUUAAAUAAAUAAAUAAAAUAAAAAAGAAACAACUUUUAAAUUUGCCAUAAUAAGGUGUGACCUACAUGGAAGAGAACCAAAGCCCAAACGCCAGCUCCGAGCGAGAUGUUAUGCGUGAAUGUUAAGGAGGAGAGGGCUUCUCCUUCACAGACAUAAUUCUCUCCUGGUUGACACGCUGCACUUCCUCGGAGCAUGGGUUAGAAUACAUACCGCAUCCUUCAAGGCGAGAAGCAUGCAAUAUUUAUUUUACUGAUGCACUGUUUGGUACUUUUAAAAAAUGGUACCAACACCAGCCAGAGGUUGUAACAUAAUAUAAUCUCUCUGACGCUGACGUAUGAAAAACAUUCCUGAGCUGACAUUCAUGAAUAAUGGCAGCUGUUUGGAGAAGAGAAACUCCUAGGUCUAUUUUCAAAUAGGUUUCAGCUGCAGCGCUGCAAAACAACUGGCCUGCUGU